rnacentral:rRNA from 1 species
UACGAAGGGGGCUAGCGUUGCUCGGAAUCACUGGGCGUAAAGGGUGCGUAGGCGGGUCUUUUAAGUCAGGGGUGAAAUCCUGGAGCUCAACUCCAGAACUGCCUUUGAUACUGAGAGCUUGAGUCCGGGAGAGGUGAGUGGAACUGGCGAGUGUAGAGGUGAAAUUCGUAGAUAUUCGCAAGAACACCAGUGGCGAAGGCGGCUCACUGGGCCCGUACUGACGCUGAGGUGC